UAUUCGAGGAUUUUUCAUCCAAAUUUGUCGUGAGAUCUUCAUUCAACAAAUCCAAUUCCUAUACCUGAGACUCAAGAUGGUAAUUUGGUUGUCGUGCUCAUCUAACAUCUUCUGCCAUUCUUCUGUCGGUUUCAAAGGUAUCUCCAAAGGUAUUAUCGCUGAAACUGGCGUAUUGGUUUGUACUAAAAUAUUGGCCUCCUUUUCUAAUGCAGCUAGUUUAGUCUGCAACAUUACAACCUCUAUCUGCAGCCGUUUUUGCCAUUCCUUCCACUCGGUCUCCAUCCUUGCUUUCUCAGACACCAUAUUUGCCAUCUUCUCCUUUUCUGCCAUCCACUUC
rnacentral:lncRNA from 1 species